rnacentral:rRNA from 1 species
GAUGGGCAAUAGCAGGUUCCGCGCGAGACUACUCGUAGGUAGACCUCUGUUGAGAUAGAUUACGCUGUAGAGCACUGAUUGGGUGUUUAGGGGGAGCAAUCCCUCGGCAUGCUGCCAAACUCCGAAGGUGUAAUCGUUGAAGAAGCAGGGAGUGAGCCACGGUGGGUAAGCUACCGUGACGAAAGGUGAACAAACCAGCCUAGUGUUAAGGUCCCAAAAUUCCAACUAAAUGUAAAGAUAAACCGUGUCCGUGGUCGAAGACAACUAGAAGGUGGGCUUAGAAGCAGCCACCCUUGAAAGAGUUCGUAACAGAUCACUAGUCAAGCUUGCGGGCCGGGAAAAGGGACGGGGCUAAGUUGGAUACCGAUACAUUAGACCAGCGAAAGCUGAUGUGGUAGCGCGGCGAUAUGCUCGGGCAGAAGCGAGGCUGUGAAGUCUCGUGGACCGUGUAUAUAUGAGAAUCCAGGGAAGAGUAGCAGCAAAGUGUGGUGAGAAUCCGCACCACCGGAGGGGCCAGGGUUCCUCGGCAAUGAUCGUCAGCCGAGGGUUAGCCGGUCCUAAGGAUAUCCUUAACCGAGAUAUUCGAAAGGGAAAUGCGUUAAUAUUCGUAUGCCUCUGUACAAUAAUGGUGACGGCUUUGGUUAGUUCGGCGAGUCAUAUAGCAGGCUCGUGAAGCGUUCAAUAAUCGAUUGGAGAACCGUCAUGGUGAGAAGAUCGAGAAGGCGUGAAAGUAAUCCGAAUGAUACCAAGGUCCCGUGAAAAGCCGUACAGAUGACCGUACCGAGAACUGACACAGGUGCCCCUGGGUGAGUAGCCUAAGGUGUGACGGAAAAACAACCGCGAGGGAACUCGGCAAAAUCGCCCCGUAACUUCGGGAGAAGGGGUGCCAGCCUUGAGAAAGGCUGGUCGCAGUGACUAGAGGACUCCGACUGUUUAAUAAAAACAUAGGCGACUGCCAGUCCGAAAGGAUGUGUAUAGUCGCUGAAUCCUGCUCAGUGCCGGUAUCUGAAAUGGGGGUACAACCUCACGAAGGACCGGUAAACAGCGGGGGUAACUAUGACCCUCUUAAGGUAGCGUAAUACCUUGUCGCUUAAUUGGCGACUUGCAUGAAUGGUCUAACGAGAGUCCUACUGUCCCCGCGGUUGGUCCGGCGAAAUUGACUUUACUGGCGCACAGUCCAGUACCUUCAGCCUGCAAGCGAAGACCCCAUAGAGCUUUACUGCAGCCUGUCGUUGUGUAGUGGCACUCCACGUGCUGCGUAGACGGGAGACAUCGAUCCACCAGACGCCAGUCUGGUGGGGAGUCGAAAAGAGAGACACCGUCCUUGAAGUGCAACUACACUCACUCUUAACGAGGACACCGGUAGGUGGGCAGUUUGGGUGGGGCGCCACGCGCUCGAAAUGAUAACAAGCGUGCCCAAAGGUCAGCUUAGGUGGUUCAGUCUCCACCGCUAAAUGUAAGGGUAAAAGCUGGCUUGACGUGGAUCGGCACAAUAACGAUCGACGAUGCGAAAGCAGGGCCUAACGAACCUACUAGCCUCAUUUAUGGGGGCAGUAGAUAACAGAAAAGUUACCUUGGGGAUAAUUGAGUUGUCACCAGCAAGAGCUCACAUCGACCUGGUGGCUUGCUACUUCGAUGUCGUCUCUUCCUAUCCUGGGUCUGCAGCAGGACCCAAGGGUGGGGUUGUUCGCCCAUUAAAAGGGAUCGUGAGAUGGGUUUAGACCGUCGUGAGACAGGUUUGUUGCUUUGUGGCUGAAGCGCGUAAGAUACCUGACGGGAAGGGGCUCUUAGUACGAGAGGAACGGAGUCUCGGUGCCACUAGUCUACCAGUUGUCUGCUAAGGCAAUGCUGGGUAGCCACGCACCAAUGGAUAAGAGCUGAAAGCAUCUAAGCUCGAAGUCAACCUGAAGACGAGGUAUCUCAGAGCUCCGAUAAAAGAUCGGUUUGAUAGACUGCGGGUGUAAGCACCAAGGUUCGCCGAGGUGUGUAGCCCAGCAGCACUAAUCGCUCGAGCAUCUUCUUUUU